rnacentral:lncRNA from 1 species
GGCUAGUUACCUUUAAGAAACACCAGGCUAGUGGUGGAGGCAGAAAUAUAAGAAGCUAAUUAUGAUACUAGAUGACAAAUAUUCAUGGGAGAAAGGUGCUGAAAAAUACUUAAAGAGGCAGAAAUAUGUUGGGAACCGUUAUAAAGCAUAACUAUGACAGUGCGGCAAUCUGUGUUCUAAAAGAAUGACUCUGGCAGUAGUGUGGAGGGUGGACUGGAAGGAGUAUUUGCUGAAGCCAGCUGCUAUUCUCUGAGCUGCCUCAUGGAAGGGCCCAACUGGCAAGCAACUGAGACAAGCAAUCGUCAGAGAAGAAUGGAUGUACCCCAUCCAAAGUCCUGCAAUGAACUUGAAUGAUCCUGCAAUCUCAGAAUUGAAAGAAUCCUAUCAAAAACAAAGAACUUAUGAGCACAUACUGUACAGUAGAACUUGAGAUGACUGCAGCUCUUGUCUGCACCUUGAAGAUUUGCAAGAGUCCCUGAACUGGAAGACCGCACUAAGCUAUGCUCAGUUUCCUAACCCACUGUAACUACUAUGGAAAUGAUGAUAGACAAAAAGCAAAAUCAAGUGAUUUUCUUAUUCAAGUUCAAAA